GGACCUUAUCACCCAGAAACCUUAUCUCCUUUGACUAUUUUGCAAAUUCUUAUAAUCAACUUAACGCUAAGGUCUGACGCUAAAGUCUGACUUGCAAAACAAAGCCUCACAGGUCCCCCUUAUUCUAGCUGCUGGUACACCUGAAGGAAACCCAAGAUUGAGCUAUUUUCUGGACAGUUGCAUCACGCUGCUGACUCACACUGAACCUACUGUUGAUUACAUCUCACAUUAUCCCUCACCAGCACUGUAUAUAUCAUCAACAACAGAUGGAUCCCUGAAUGAAUGGGAAAGUGAAUGAAUGAAACAAAGUGACCCCACUCAACGUGAAGAACCUGUGUGAACAGAUGUCCACAUGUAAGGCGAAGGAAGUCACCACCACCCAUAGAGGAACAGAAAACACAACAACUGAAGAGGAAAUUUGCUUGAGUCAAAGAGAGAGCAAACUGCACACCAGUUACAUAUUCUCCUACCGCCCCAAGAGACGCACCUUCCGUUUUCAGACUCCAAGAUUACAGAAUUGUGCACAGAAGAGGAACAAGCGUUAUUGCUCUACUUGCUAUCACAGAUCUGUCAUCAGAUUCCUUUAAAGCUUUGACUUUUCUAGACUUUUCUUAACCUUCUCGAUUUGUCUAGCGCCCCCACCCCUAUGAAAUCUACACAAAAUUCAAUACCUGCUUCUUAUUAAUUAGGAUAA